GCCUCUUAACAUUUCUGUUUUAGAAUAUCAUCAUGUUCUGGUGAACUGGAAUUGUGAUGAAAGGAGUUUGGAUAAGAAGUAAAUUGGGGCAAGCUAGCCUGCUUUCCACCAGAGCAUCUCCCUCCAAAGAUGCAAGUGUGUGGAAAUGAGACUGCAGGGAGAACUUCCAGGCAACAAAGGAUGUGAGACUAUAGAAGAGGCACUAUAGCUGGGCUCAUGGAGGAGGGAUGCCGCUCUGGACUUUGCCCAGGGGAUGCUGGAUCUCUGAUAUGAAGGAAGAAGAGGGGGAGGAAGGGUCCCCAAGCCUCUGACCUUGAUCUGAGCAUCACAGAAGCCUCCUCCCCUGAGGAUCCUGCAGUAGCCAAGCCACCAGCUUUCACAGAUGAUGGCUCACACUGAAAUAACUUGUUCCUAGGGUAGUUGGUGAUCAAUGACUCAAAUUAAACCUUAGAAAAGUUUUUUUUCUUCCUGACACUUUAUAGGUUUCUCUACUUAUCUCCUCCCUGGAUGGCUGUAUAAGCCAGAUGACGGCUACCUGAACACUCUAGAAAAAGUGAAUUCACAGAGGCUUUCACAGGGCACAGCCUCGCAGUCUGGAGGGAGAAGAGGGCAAAGCAGUCUUCACGGAUGCCACCUACUGCCUAGCUGGGCAGAGAGCCAGUGGAUCAGAGAGGCCGGCUCUGUUCUUGGCAGGAAAUGAGGGGCUGGCAUGGAAAUGCCACCCAGGCUGGGAACAAGAUCUGUGGAGUGGCAGCCUGAGUGGGUGAGCUUGAUCUGCAGUCCUUUCAUCUCAAAGAGAAUGGCCAGCAAGGAGCCCAUUCAUGGAGCCUUGUUGGACAACUCCACCUACACAGUCUUCAGUGGUGCUCUGGAGAACAGAAGCUGACAACAGGCUAUGGUGAUCCAGAGUCCUCACCGUCUACUCUCCCAUCCCUUCAACCAAACUUUCCUGGGCAACUCUGAUGCCAGGCAUUUCUAGCACUGUGACAGAACCUGGUGGAGGACAGAGGGCUCCACUUCAAAGGAGCAUGAAGGCAUGUGUUGGUAAUGGAACCACAAGAUCAAACUGGCCUGAAUCCCUGAGUCAUCACAUGGAGGACAGCUGCCUACAAGAGUCUCCUGACCUAUAGUGGGCUCUGGAUGAGUGAGAAGUAUAAUAAAAUGUGUGCAUUAAUUACAGACCUUUUUGGCUUCUUUGUUAGUACAGCUAGACCUAUAACAUCCUGAUUAAUAUAUCUUUGUAUAAAGAUCAAUGUGUUGACUAUUAUAUUGAACUAGACACUUUUAAUUAUUGAUUUAAAAUAUAUUGUUGAUUUAAAAUGACCUAUAUUCUCUAAGAGUGAGCAGAAAAAUUGGAGAUUUUACCCAGUUUCAAGGGACUGAACAAGCUCUGAAUAUAUUUAAAGGGCAAUGGCAAACAAAAUAAAAAAAUUUUUGAAUAUGUC
rnacentral:lncRNA from 10 species